rnacentral:rRNA from 1 species
GUAGGUGGCAAGCGUUGUCCGGAAUUAUUGGGCGUAAAGCGCGCGCAGGCGGUCCUUUAAGUCUGAUGCGAAAGCCCACGGCUCAACCGUGGAGGGUCAUUGGAAACUGGGGGACUUGAGUACAGAAGAGGAAAGCGGAAUUCCAAGUGUAGCGGUGAAAUGCGUAGAGAUUUGGAGGAACACCAGUGGCGAAGGCGGCUUUCUGGUCUGUAACUGACGCUGAGGCGCGAAAGCGUGGGGAGCAAACAGGAUUAGAUACCCUGGUAGUCCACGCCGUAAACGAUGAGUGCUAAGUGUUAGGGGGUUUCCCGCCCCCCUUAGUGCUGCAGCUAACGCAUUAAGCACUCCGCCUGGGGGAGUACGGCCCGCAAGGCUG